rnacentral:rRNA from 1 species
GACGAACGCUGGCGGCGUGCUUAACACAUGCAAGUCGAACGGUGAAGCGAGUGCUUGCACUCGUGGAUCAGUGGCGAACGGGUGGGUAACACGUGAGUAACCUGCCCAUCACUCUGGGAUAAGCACUGGAAACGGUGUCUAAUACUGGAUACGACCAACCCUUGCAUGGGGUGUUGGUGGAAAGAUUUAUCGGUGAUGGAUGGACUCGCGGCCUAUCAGCUUGUUGGCGGGGUAAUGGCCCACCAAGGCGACGACGGGUAGCCGGCCUGAGAGGGUGACCGGCCACACUGGGACUGAGACACGGCCCAGACUCCUACGGGAGGCAGCAGUGGGGAAUAUUGCACAAUGGGCGAAAGCCUGAUGCAGCGACGCCGCGUGAGGGAUGACGGCCUUCGGGUUGUAACCUCUUUCAGCAGGGAAGAAGCGAAAGUGACGGUACCUGCAGAAGAAGCACCGGCUAACUACGUG